rnacentral:rRNA from 1 species
GACGAACGCUGGCGGCAUGCCUAACACAAGCAAGUCGAGCGAGCUGAUUCCUUCGGGAUGAAGCUAGCGGCGGACGGGUGAGUAACACGUGGGCAACCUGCCUCAUAGAGGGGAAUAGCCUUCCGAAAGGGAGAUUAAUACCGCAUAAGAUUGCAUCUUCGCAUGCAGAAGCAAUUAAAGGAGUAAUCCGCUAUGAGAUGGGCCCGCGGCGCAUUAGCUAGUUGGUGAGGUAACGGCUCACCAAGGCGACGAUGCGUAGCCGACCUGAGAGGGUGAUCGGCCACAUUGGGACUGAGACACGGCCCAGACUCCUACGGGAGGCAGCAGUGGGGAAUAUUGCACAAUGGGGGAAACCCUGAUGCAGCAAUGCCGCGUGAGUGAUGACGGCCUUCGGGUUGUAAAGCUCUGUCUUCGGGGACGAUAAUGACGGUACCCGAGGAGGAAGCCACGGCUAACUACGUGCCAGCAGCCGCAGUAA